rnacentral:rRNA from 1 species
AGUGAACGCUGGCGGUAGGCCUAACACAUGCAAGUCGAACGGCAGCACAGGAGAGCUUGCUCUCUGGGUGGCGAGUGGCGGACGGGUGAGGAAUACAUCGGAAUCUACUUUUUCGUGGGGGAUAACGUAGGGAAACUUACGCUAAUACCGCAUACGACCUACGGGUGAAAGCAGGGGAUCUUCGGACCUUGCGCGAUUGAAUGAGCCGAUGUCGGAUUAGCUAGUUGGCGGGGUAAAGGCCCACCAAGGCGACGAUCCGUAGCUGGUCUGAGAGGAUGAUCAGCCACACUGGAAAUGAGACACGGUCCAGACGCCUACGGGAGGCAGCAGUGGGGAAUAGUGGACAAUGGGCGCAAGCCUGAUCCAGCCAUACCGCGUGGGUGAAGAAGGCCUUCGGGUUGUAAAGCCCUUUUGUUGGGAAAGAAAUCCAGCUGGCUAAUACCCGGUUGGGAUGACGGUACCCAAAGAAUAAGCACCGGCUAACUUCGUGCCAGCCGCCGCGGUAA